GUGUCAGCAGCCGCGGUAAUACGGAGGGUGCAAGCGUUGUCCGGAUUCAUUGGGUUUAAAGGGUGCGCAGGCGGGACAUUAAGUCAGGGGUGAAAGACGGUUGCUCAACAAUCGCAGUGCCUUUGAUACUGGUGUUCUUGGGUGACCUUGAGGUAGGCGGAAUGGGUGGUGUAGCGGUGAAAUGCAUAGAUACCACCCAGAACUCCGAUUGCGAAGGCAGCCUACUGGAGGUUUACCGACGCUCAGGCACGAAAGCGUGGGGAUCAAACAGGAUUAGAUACCCUGGUAGUCC
rnacentral:rRNA from 1 species